rnacentral:sRNA from 1 species
GUGCACCAGGUGUACAAGUACCCCUUCGAGCAGGUGGUCGCCAGCUUUUUCCGAAAGGAAGAGCCUCCGGGAAUCCCAGCUCGUGAGCUCCGUGGAGUUGCAGAUGACCGACGUGUGGAGCUUUCGUUCCCGUUCGUCACUGACCCCUUAAAAGCGAGAGGAGGCCAUUGGGCAGUCAUCCUGGUUUACUCAGCAUGAUCGUUCUGCUGCCUCUCCACUGCCCCUUAUUAAACAGCUGUGGGACUUCGUGCAGGUUGCUUACUCUCUUUGUGCCUUAGUUUGCUAAUCUGUAAAAUGGGGAAAAUAAUAGUACCGACGCACAGAGUUGUUGUGAGGAUCCA